rnacentral:tRNA from 1 species
GUAGAGUUGGCCCAGUGGUUAAGAGCACUGACUGCUCUUCCAGAGGUCCUGAGUUCAAUUCCCAGCAACUACA